AACACCAAUGCUUCAUCAUCCAAUGGAUCUCUGCCACCCCCAAAGAGUGUGCUACGAACAGUAUUUAACAUCCCGUGCCUUCUGAUAAUGGCCUUUGCCUUCCUCCCAAGAGCCUUCAUAAAGGCUUGUAUCUCCAUAAAAAACCUAAUCACCUUGCAGAAUGGCAAGAAAUUCUUCAAGAUCCUGCUGUUGCUGGUUCCAAUCAUUUAUGGUGAGUAUUCAUGGAAUUCAGGGGACAUAUAAAGGUCUAAUCUCAACUACCAGUUUAGAAACAAAAAUGCCUGCUUACUGAAUUAAUCUAAUUGCAUUGAUUUAGGGAUUCAUAUGACUAGAGCUCACUCUGC
rnacentral:lncRNA from 1 species